AUUGAACGCUGGCGGCAGGCCUAACACAUGCAAGUCGAGCGGGGUUUUCGGACCUAGCGGCGGACGGGUGAGUAAUGCGUAGGAAGCUGCCCGAUAGAGGGGGAUACCAGUUGGAAACGACUGUUAAUACCGCAUAAUGUCUACGGACCAAAGUGUGGGACCUUCGGGCCACAUGCUAUCGGAUGCGCCUGCGUGUGAUUAGCUAGUUGGUGAGGUAAUGGCUCACCAAGGCGACGAUCUCUAGCUGGUUUGAGAGGAUGAUCAGCCACACUGGAACUGAGACACGGUCCAGACUCCUACGGGAGGUAGCAGUGGGGAAUAUUGGACAAUGGGCGAAAGCCUGCUCCAGCCAUGCCGCGUGUGUGAAGAAGGCCUUCGGGUUGUAAAGCACUUUCAGCGAGGAGGAAGGGUGGUGUGUUAAUAGCACAUCAUUUUGACGUUACUCGCAGAAGAAGCACCGGCUAACUCUGUGCCAGCCGCCGCAGUAACAC
rnacentral:rRNA from 1 species